AGCAGCCGCGGUAAUUCCAGCUCCAAUAGCGUAUAUUAAAGUUGUUGCAGUUAAAAAGCUCGUAGUUGAAUUUCGGGAUCAAUGUUUCGGUCAUGCCCCUGGUAUGUACUGAUAUUAUUGGUUUCUCACCUUCUAAAGAACCGUAACGCCAUUAAUUUGGUGUCACGGGGAAUUAGGACUGUUACCUUGAAAAAAUUAGAGUGUUUAAAGCAGGCUCACGCUUGAAUACAUUAGCAUGGAAUAAUGAAAUAGGACAUCCGAUUCUAUUUUGUUGGUUUCUAGGAUCGAUGUAAUGAUUAAUAGGGAUAGUUGGGGGCAUUAGUAUUCAAUUGUCAGAGGUGAAAUUCUUGGAUUUAUUGAAGACUAACUACUGCGAAAGCAUUUGCCAAGGAUGUUUUCAUUAAUCAAGAACGAAAGUUAGGGGAUCGAAGACGAUCAGAUACCGUCGUAGUCUUAACCAUAAACUAUGCCGACUAGGGAUCGGAUGAUGUUAAUUUUUUAAUGACUCA
rnacentral:rRNA from 1 species